rnacentral:rRNA from 1 species
AGCAGCCGCGGUAAUUCCAGCUCCAAUAGCGUAUAUUAAAGUUGUUGCAGUUAAAAAGCUCGUAGUUGAAUUUCGAGACCGGUCUACUGGUCGUGCUUUUGUACGUACUGGUAUAAUCGGUUUCUCUCUUCUGACGAACUAUAAUGCCAUUAAUUUGGUGUUUUAGGGAAUCAGGACUGUUACUUUGAAAAAAUUAGAGUAGUUUAAAGCAGGCUCACGCUUGAAUACAUUAGCAUGGAAUAACGAAAUAGGACGUUUGAUUUUAUUUUGUUGGUUUCUAGGAUCGACGUAAUGAUUAAUAGGGAUAGUUGGGGGCAUUAGUAUUCAAUUGUCAGAGGUGAAAUUCUUGGAUUUAUUGAAGACUAACUACUGCGAAAGCAUUUGCCAAGGAUGUUUUCAUUAAUCAAGAACGAAAGUUAGGGGAUCGAAGACGAUCAGAUACCGUCGUAGUCUUAACCAUAAACUAUGCCGACUAGGGAUCGGGUGAUGUUAAAUUAAUGACUCAUUCGGCACCUUACGG